rnacentral:rRNA from 1 species
CACGUAGGGCGCAAGCGUUGUCCGGAAUUAUUGGGCGUAAAGAGCUCGUAGGCGGUCUGUUACGUCUGCUGUGAAAACCCUGGGCUUAACCCUGGGCUUGCAGUGGAUACGGGCAGACUAGAGGCAGGUAGGGGAGAAUGGAAUUCCCGGUGUAGCGGUGAAAUGCGCAGAUAUCGGGAGGAACACCGGUGGCGAAGGCGGUUCUCUGGGCCUGACCUGACGCUGAGGAGCGAAAGCGUGGGGAGCGAACGGG